UUACAGGGGUGCUGUGCGAAUGCGUACGGCUGAGAGUAAGCAGCUUACAACCCUUUGACCUGAUCCGGAUAAUGCCGGCGUAGGGACGUACUUA
rnacentral:ncRNA from 1 species